rnacentral:rRNA from 1 species
GUGUACACAAGAUAGAGCUCACAUCAAGUUUUCUUAAACUUUACAAUUAAAUCCACCUUCAAAAGAUAUUUCAUAAACUUUGUUUGUAUUAUUCUAAUAAAUGUAACCCACCUCUAUCUUUCCCAUAAGCUGCACCUUUACUUGAAGUCUAUGAUUUUUUCAUGAUAGAAAGUUUUCUAAAGAAACUGACUGACAACAGCGGUAUACAAACUGAUUACUAGAAAAAGUAAAGUUUUCGUGGACCAUCGUUUAUAGGGCAGGUUCCUCUAAAUGGCUAUCUUGCCGCCAAAUCCGUUAAAUUUCAUUAAUACUACUAUUCCAAAAUUUAUUAUUUAUGAGUA